rnacentral:rRNA from 1 species
UACGUAGGUGGCAAGCGUUGUCCGGAUUUACUGGGCGUAAAGCGUGCGCAGGCGGAGCGUUAAGUAGCAAGUGAAAAGGCGGGAGCUCAACUCCUGGACUGCUUGCUAUACUGGCGUUCUGGAGGGACGGAGAGGAAGAGGGAACGACACGUGUAGCGGUGAAAUGCGUUGAGAUGUGUCGGAACACCACUGGCGAAAGCACUCUUCUGGACGUCACCUGACGCUCAUGCACGAAAAGCCCAAGGUAGCAAAACAGG